GCUGGACGGAGGGGCUUCGGGUGGCCGAUCCCGCGGAUGAGCGCCGCUCUAGAAACAAGCAAAAACAAAGUUCAGGGGAAGAGACCGAAUGGAGGAAACUACGGUGUCUUCGUUGCCGCUUCCGGGUGGGAUGGCACCUGCGGUGGAGGAGGGAUUGAAGUGCCUUUGAGAACUUUAGCGGGUAUUGACUUACAUUACUCAUCGCCACCAUUGUGCCCCGGCGUCCUGGCGGCGGGGGACAGACGCUGCACACACGAGGUGGCUCGGGUCGCGUGCAGCCGCCGUGCGGGAAAUGCGAGCUGCGCGAGCCGGGCCUGGGCACCCCGGAGGCGGGAAGGAACCCGGAACGCCCCCGUUUGGACGCGGAUAUGCAACCUGGUUUUGUUGUUGUUGUUUGUUUGUUGUUGUUUUUGGUUUUUUAGGAGGUGGGUUAUUCCGAAGGAAUUUGGCCCCAGGUUAUCGGAGCAGAGGGAUAAUUGCGGGUUUUAGGAUCCAGACGUGGUACGGGUGAAAAUGCUUCGUGCUUGCUUGAAGUUAAACCCGGCGGGGGAACGAUUGUUCCCACUGAACGUUCCCACAGGAGAACCCUUGGAGACACUACCUUUCCCACAGAAUUUCAUUCAAGGAGCUCAAAGGCCAGGAAAUCUUUUGAAAAGGUACCAUCUACCUGGAGGGCAUCAUCCUGAGUGAGGCUAAAAUAAAAAGGGGCUCGUGAGAUGAUUCAGCAGUAAGAAAAGCAUGCUGUUCUUGCAAAAGAGCUAGUUUGGAGCCAAGAAGCC
rnacentral:lncRNA from 1 species